AAUUGCAGCCUCUCUCUCUCUCUCUCUCUCUCUCUCUCUCUUGCCAAAAAUGGCAAAAUUGCCAUCCGUUUCUGCUGUCCACAGACCAUGCAUGGUCUUUUUGGAUAAAACAAUUAAAGUUUACCCUCUCUCAACCGCGUCACCAACAGAGAAAGGUAAAAUGUCACCCUCUCUCUUACUUUUCUGCGAAUUACGGUCAAGCAGGGAUGUUUUCUUAAUUAUUUUUGUUUGCUUAUGCUCGAUUCUUAUUGGUUUUCAUCAAAACACAAACAUUCAAGAAGAACCCUUUUUUAAUUUUGAUAGUCCCACAUCGAAUGCAAAUCAGAAAUUUAGGGUUUUAGGGUUCUAUAUAAAGAAUACCACCCUUCUCAUUUUGAAAAAGAGGUCAAAAUUUCAAUACACACACAAGUUUCGACCUAGAGCAAAAAAUACUCAAAUUACCUAGGGAUUUAGCAUUUGCUGAAACCUUUAACUAUUUGAGUUUUUCCUAGUUUAAAAUUUGAUUACUUUGCUUUUGUGGUUGAGUCUUGGGUACUGAGGAGUGCAAGGAUCUCCAAUUCCAAACUCUAGACAAGUGUUGCACAUAAGAAAGAUUUUGGACGAAACGGGAAGUGAACUUGGAAAGGCGUAAAAAGCAUAAAAGGUACAGACGACGGAUUUGCUGAGCCGCCUGCCUAGGACAUCUAUUCUGCUAUUUUGGGAGUGCUCUUUUGUCCAGAGCCUAUAUGUUGGUACAGUCUGCUGCUAUUGUAUAUAUGUAUGCUAUUCAGGGGUAUGACGGGGCCCUGUCCCGUCUUAUGAUUCUGUUAUAAUCUGUAGAGGUCUGUAGACAUACUUGUGUGGGUUUUGUAUAUGUUUUGGGAUGAUAUGAUCUGUGACAUCCUUAUCGGCUCCCAUGUACUAUGUCGGUUCAUUUAUGAUGAUUACU